rnacentral:rRNA from 1 species
UACGAAGGGUGCAAGCGUUAAUCGGAAUUACUGGGCGUAAAGCGCACGUAGGCGGCUUUGUAAGUUAGAGGUGAAAGCCCAGAGCUCAACUCUGGAAUAGCCUUUAAGACUGCAUCGCUUGAAUCCAGGAGAGGUGAGUGGAAUUCCGAGUGUAGAGGUGAAAUUCGUAGAUAUUCGGAAGAACACCAGUGGCGAAGGCGGCUCACUGGACUGGUAUUGACGCUGAGGUGCGAAAGCGUGGGGAGCAAACAGG